rnacentral:lncRNA from 1 species
UUAGCUCAAUUGUUAAGAGGGAUAUAGAAUAAAAAAAGACGAAAUAUAAAAUAUGCCAGCCCUCGACCCGCCUCCUUCAGCCUCAGCGCCUCCCUCCGCCGACUUUGCAGACUUGCAGUAGCAACAGUUUCCAACGCUCAAUUUCCGGUAUUGCAGGUAAGCCGACAGGCUAUUCGUGCCGUUUAGAAGUUCGUAUUUUUUUUUUUUUGUAUGCUGUAAAUUGAGGCAAACUUGUUAUCCUUUCUAGAAUAAACUUGCCUUUGAAUGAUGAAUGAUGAAUGUUGGCUCUUAUAUACAUCCUUGAUAUUCAGGCAGUUAUAUGUAUCACUUCUAAUUUUUUGUUUUUUUUUUGUUUUUUAGGGUUUGUUUUUUUUGGUUGACAAAUUUACCCUUUCUCAUCCCCUUCAAAUAAUAAUGAUAAUGAAUAAUACUCCCUCCGUCCGUCAAAAGUGGACCAUUUUUAGUAUAUCGGGCGUCCGCAAAGAGUAUACCACUUUCCUUUUAUAGAAAUGGUCCCACCAUCCACUUUAAUCUUUUAUCCUUACAAACACUCUUUAUUUACAAAAAAAAACCCACCUCAAAUUCAAUCUCAACCACAUAUCUCAUCUCCUAAAUUGGUGGGACCCUUUCUUCACUACAUCAAAAUUAUCACCAAUUUUAUAAAAUCCCGUGCCCAGCCAAAGUGGUCCACUUUUGGCGGACGGAGGGAGUAUUAUCACAUAAAAAAUGGAGGUAUAACUUGGAGUGAAUUGAUAAUAUUAUCACANCCUUCUCAACUCCGGCCACCACAGUAGGAGUCACGUUUGAGUGUAUUAUGUUAGCCUUUUUUUUCUUUAAAUAUAAUAAAGCUGGCAAUUCCAAGUGGAUUAAUAAGUCCACAUAAUCAAACUCCGGCGUUCCACGUCAACUCCCGGGCGCCGAAUUUUUUUUACGAAACACAAUUAAAAAAAUAUUGGUAGGUUGGGUACUAAUUAGAUAUUAUCAAAAAGUUGGGACAUAAUCGAUAAUUCGGCCAAACGAUGGGACAUAAAGUGACAUUUACCCUAUAAAUAAACACAUUAGCUCAAUUGUUAAGAGAGAUAAGCUUCAAAAAAAAAUUUGUUAAGAGAGAUAUAGAAUAAAAAAGAGACGCAAUAUAAAAUAACCCAGCCCUCGACCCGACUCCUUCAGCCUCAGCGCCUCCCUCCGCCGACUUUGCAGACUUGCAGUAGCAACAGUUUCCAACGCUCAAUUUCCGGUAUUGCAGGUAAGCCGACAGGCUAUUCGUGCCAUUUAGAAGUUCGAACUUUUUUUUUGUAUGCUGUAAAUUGGGGCAAACUUGUUAUCCUUUCUAGAAUAAACUUGCCUUUGAAUGAUGAAUGUUGGCUCUUAUAUACAUCCUUGAUAUUCAGGCAGUUAUAUGUAUCACUUCAAUUUUUUUUGUUUUGUUUUUGUUUUUGUUUUUGUUUUUUUAGGGUUUGUUUUUUUUGGUUGACAAAUUUACCCUUUCUCAUCCCCUUCAAAUAAGAAUGAUAAUGAAUAAUAUUAUCACAUGAGUGAAUUGAUAAUAUUAUCACAUUAAAAAUGGAGGGAUAAUUUGGAGUGAAAAGAAGGGAUGGGAAUCGAUAAUAUUCUGGUUCAUAGAAGAUGAUGGAAAAGAAAGAAGAAUUUAAAGGGAUAAAUUUUUGUUAUGUCUUAUUUUCUCAUGAUAAGUUUAUCAAGCAAAGAGAACGCACCUGAGUUGUUUAUAUCAACAAUGAUUUUUAACCAAGAAAUAAAAUUCAGCCAACACUUUUACAAAUUACACAAACACAACAGAAUAAGCUCAUACUCUAUUGGCGGGAAAAUGACUAUAUAUAUAUAUAUAUAUAUAUAUAUAUAUAUAGAUGGCCCAAGAAGCUACAACGAUCGAUUUCAAAAACACUGGAUGUCGGAAAUUUUCACAGUUUUGGUCGCCCCUAAGUUGAUUGCUUCACGAGGGUAAGGAAAACAUGUCAAUUUCUUCAGUUUCUUAUAAAUUGCUAGAAAUUUAUUUGUUUCCAUUCCAUUCAAUCAUAGUAAACGUUUGUUUAGGUACUCAAUUUUACUUCCAUCACCAACUUCCACUAGGGUAAUUGAAACUCAAUUAGAGAAGGUUUUGAACCUGCCUUAUCAUUAUAAGUAUUCGAUUUUUCUUAAUUUUUUAAAAGAUUGUACUCCUCAGAAUAUUAUUUAGUGCAAGAAAAGAUGUAGUGAAAUUAUUAAGCGAAGUAGGAUUUUAGUGGUGGUUAAUUGUAGUUGAAUUUUUUUUAUGAGAGGAUGAAAGAGAACAAAUAAUAAGGAAUGACUGUUUACAAGCAUUUCUGAGUAUUGUCUUGUAAGAGGUGAUGCAGUAACUCUGUGGUUGUCUGUGUGUAUUGCUGUUUGCAAUAAAUUCACUGUGUGUGCGUGUGUGUUUUGUCUGAGAGUUGUGUGGUUUGUGUUGAAUGUUUUGGACAGGGAUGCACAUUGCUGGAUUUAACUUCCAUGGAGAACAUACCGUUUAAAGUUGGACAACUGGCUGAAUUAAGGUCCUUUUGUUCUGGUUAUCGUGGUGCGUGGUUUCGAUGCAAGGUAAUGGAAGAUGCCACAUCUGUAAUGUUGAGGAAUUUGUAUGUUAGUUCUAUAUUUCAGCAUGAAUUGCAAUAUGAGAGAAACAUAUUUGGGAUAAGUUAUUUAGUGGUUAGCGAAGUUUCCCUAAAUAGGAUUACUUCCUUGUAAAGUUUAUCCUGGAACGUUAUUUUGUUGACAUAAUCUAGAUUUUUGUAUAAACUUAGAAAUUUAAGGAUUGAGCUGUGUAAACCGUUAUCACACACACGUAUUGUAAUUACACAUAUCAUAUAAGGGAGAGUUGGUUUAA